AGAGAGAGACAUGCGUGCAUAUCAAUAAGCGGAGGAAAAGAAACUAACAAGGAUUCCCCUAGUAACGGCGAGUGAAGCGGGAAGAGCUCAAAUUUGAAAUCUUAAAGGGUUUCCCUUUACGAAUUGUAGUCUAAAGAAGUGUUUUCUGUUGAGGUUUUGGUAAAAGUUCUUUGGAAUAGGACAUCAUAGAGGGUGAGAAUCCCGUAUUUGACCUUUACUUUCAACUUUGUGAUACACUUUCAAAGAGUCGGAUUGUUUGGGAAUGCAGUCCAAAAUGGGUGGUAAAUUUCAUCUAAAGCUAAAUAUUGGCGAGAGACCGAUAGCGAACAAGUACCGUGAGGGAAAGAUGAAAAGAACUUUGAAAAGAGAGUUAAACAGUACGUGAAAUUGUCAAAAGGGAAGCGUCUGACACCAGUGUUGUUUUUCUGAAAAUCAAUUAAAGAACUGUUUAUGCUAAGCUGUUUAGACUUUAUCAGCUAUCUGUUUAGUUUUGAGCUUUUCUUUAAUGCACUUUUCAGUUAACAAGUCAACAUCAAUUUCUUUUGCUGUAAAAAAGCUUGAGGAAGGUGGCUUGAGAUUCGUCUUAAGUGUUUAUAGCCUCUUGCCUAUGCAGUCGGAGAGAUUGAGGUCUGCAGCGUAGAUCCUUCGGGGCUAAAUGCAUUUGUGCUAAGUUAUAGCAUUUUAUAGACAACUUGUUGACUAUGAUUUGUCUUGUAGCUUACUCGCUUAUGUUAUUUUACCUACGCUUAGGAUGUUGACGCAUGAGAUAUACGC
rnacentral:rRNA from 1 species